AGAGUUUGAUCCUGGCUCAGAACGAACGCUGGCGGCGUGGAUAAGACAUGCAAGUCGAACGAGAGAAUUGCUAGCUUGCUAAUAAUUCUCUAGUGGCGCACGGGUGAGUAACACGUGAGUAACCUGCCCCCGAGAGCGGGAUAGCCCUGGGAAACUGGGAUUAAUACCGCAUAGUAUCGAAAGAUUAAAGCAGCAAUGCGCUUGGGGAUGGGCUCGCGGCCUAUUAGUUAGUUGGUGAGGUAACGGCUCACCAAGGCGAUGACGGGUAGCCGGUCUGAGAGGAUGUCCGGCCACACUGGAACUGAGACACGGUCCAGACACCUACGGGUGGCAGCAGUCGAGAAUCAUUCACAAUGGGGGAAACCCUGAUGGUGCGACGCCGCGUGGGGGAAUGAAGGUCUUCGGAUUGUAAACCCCUGUCAUGUGGGAGCAAAUUAAAAAGAUAGUACCACAAGAGGAAGAGACGGCUAACUCUGUGCCAGCAGCCGCGGUAAUACAGAGGUCUCAAGCGUUGUUCGGAAUCACUGGGCGUAAAGCGUGCGUAGGCUGUUUCGUAAGUCGUGUGUGAAAGGCGCGGGCUCAACCCGCGGACGGCACAUGAUACUGCGAGACUAGAGUAAUGGAGGGGGAACCGGAAUUCUCGGUGUAGCAGUGAAAUGCGUAGAUAUCGAGAGGAACACUCGUGGCGAAGGCGGGUUCCUGGACAUUAACUGACGCUGAGGCACGAAGGCCAGGGGAGCGAAAGGGAUUAGAUACCCCUGUAGUCCUGGCAGUAAACGGUGCACGCUUUGGUGUGCGGGGAAUCGACCCCCUGCGUGCCGGAGCUAACGCGUUAAGCGUGCCGCCUGGGGAGUACGGUCGCAAGAUUAAAACUCAAAGAAAUUGACGGGGACCCGCACAAGCGGUGGAGUAUGUGGCUUAAUUCGAUGCAACGCGAAGAACCUUACCUGGGCUUGACAUGUAAUGAACAACAUGUGAAAGCAUGCGACUCUUCGGAGGCGUUACACAGGUGCUGCAUGGCCGUCGUCAGCUCGUGUCGUGAGAUGUUUGGUUAAGUCCAGCAACGAGCGCAACCCCUGUUGCCAGUUACCAGCACGUGAAGGUGGGGACUCUGGCGAGACUGCCCAGAUCAACUGGGAGGAAGGUGGGGACGACGUCAGGUCAGUAUGGCCCUUAUGCCCAGGGCUGCACACGUACUACAAUGCCCAGUACAGAGGGGGCCGAAGCCGCGAGGCGGAGGAAAUCCUGAAAACUGGGCCCAGUUCGGACUGUAGGCUGCAACCCGCCUACACGAAGCCGGAAUCGCUAGUAAUGGCGCAUCAGCUACGGCGCCGUGAAUACGUUCCCGGGUCUUGUACACACCGCCCGUCACAUCAUGGAAGCCGGUCGCACCCGAAGUAUCUGAAGCCAACCGCAAGGAGGCAGGGUCCUAAGGUGAGACUGGUAACUGGGAUGAAGUCGUAACAAGGUAACC
rnacentral:rRNA from 1 species